rnacentral:rRNA from 1 species
UACGGGGGGAGCAAGCGUUGUUCGGAUUUACUGGGCGUAAAGGGCGCGUAGGCGGUCACGACAAGUCAGUUGUGAAAUCUCCGGGCUUAACUCGGAACGGUCAACUGAUACUGUCGGACUAGAGUGCAGAAGGGGCAACUGGAAUUCUCGGUGUAGCGGUGAAAUGCGUAGAUAUCGAGAGGAACACCGGUGGCGAAGGCGGCCAACUGGACGAAUACUGACGCUGAGACUCGAAAGCGUGGGGAGCAAACAGG